CUCAUUUUAAAAGGGCACAUCCCCUCCACUUUCUGUCUCUCUCUUGCCCCUGUUUUUGCCAUACGAAGGGGUAGCUCCCCCUUCACUUUCCGCCAUGAUUGAAAGCUUCCUGAGGCCACCUCAGAAGCCAAGCGGAUGCUCCACCAUGCUUCUGUAUGAUGACCGGAGACACAGCUGUUGGAGGAAAAAAGUUUAUGUCAAUUAAAAUCCUGAAUUUCUCUGAUCUGGAAAGAAAAACUGCUAUGAACUCUUUAGAUGCCAACACAAGUGCUGAAGAGGAUGUUACAUGAGAGAAAGAUGGAUUCAUAUGUGGAAAAGCCUUCUAAGGAUAAAGUCUACCAUAUACUGACUUACUUUUGGAGCCUUGACAUCCUUCAUGCCACACCACUUUAUCAGUAAACCCUCCAGGAUGGAACUAUUUACUGAAAUGCCAGUACUCCCCCUCAUUUUUUAAACUACAUGACCUGUUCAGUGCUGUCUGUUCUGGAAUGAAAGGCCAAUAUCCAAGUGUUCAGAAAGACCCGGGAGAUGGGACAAAGAGGAUGAAGCUGGGGCUGGAAGGCGACUCUGGGAACGGCUCAUAAAGAUGUCCCACAGAAUGACUGAGGCUUUGUUUCAUGAAUAGGUGUCUCCAUUCGGCCUUGAUGGCUAACCAGCCAACUGAACAAGUGUAAAGGGCCCAAGAAAGGCCCGUAAAACCCAUGACAUGAAAGAACAAUUUAGGAAAAUAACAACUAAGGUAAAAAUAUCAUUUUUAUUGCAUAAAUUGCAUGAGGAGUUGUGAAAUUAAAACCAUUUAUUUAUAAAAGUUAUUUCCUCAAAAAAUAAAUAAUAUUAGGUAUAUCUCCUAAUGCUAUCCCUCCCCCCUCCCCACCCCACAACAGGCCCCAGUGUGUGAUGUUCCCCUUCCUGUGUCCAUGUGUUCUCAUUGUUCAAUUCCCACCUAUGAGUGAGAACAUGCGGUGUUACACCUAAUGUUAAAUGACGAGUUAAUGGGUGCAGCACACCAACAUGGCACAUGUAUACAUAUGUAACAA
rnacentral:lncRNA from 10 species